rnacentral:lncRNA from 1 species
CAUUUAAUACCUAAAAAUAAUUGAUCAAGUGCUCCUCAUAUACACUUGCACUUAGCUAGUGUAUUUUCUAUGAUGAUCACAUAUAUCAGUCUCAGCCAGCCUUGCUGUUUCUAAAGUUGCCUUUGAUUAGCUUCACCCUAGCAAGGGGUAAGUUUUAUAGCCACAGCACCGGGCAUUUGUUUUAGGUUUUCCUCUCUAAUUUGUUGCACCUGAACAAAAAAAGUAAUUGCAGACCAUAAUACUGUUUGGGUUAGAGUGAGAACCACAAAGGAACCUUGCUUUUCUUUAAAGAAAAGUUAGCAAAAGAGCCAAGAAAUCCAUGCUUGUUUUUGUAGGAUAACAAUGUGCAGUAUAAAUAGUAUCUGUCAACUUUUUAGAGGUGCUGACAAUUGUCUGUGCUCCAAACCAGCUGGAUACAAGGUAGUUCUUGCUCAAAAGUCGUGUGGCAGAGUUACUGGAAAAAGGAGCUGAAGCUACUGUAUCCCACCUUUUGCUUCAGUGUCUCAGAAGAGAUCAUUUCAGUGAUGACGUGUUUGAGAAGAUGAGUACCAAGAGGAAGCUGUGGCUUCUGCUCGUAAGAGUUUCCAAACAUAUGGAAACUGUAAGUGACUGCAGAUUCUACAGGCGCAUACAACUCCCAUUGAAGCUGCCAGGAACUAACUGAUUAUAUCCAGGAAUAGAGUUUGACUCAGAAUGUUUGUUGUAACCUUGUUAUCAUAGUAAUCUUGGUCAACAUGUCUUGUUAGUGAGAAUUCUAUAUUUUCUUAUCCAUUAGCAAUUCUUUCUAAUGCAGAUACAUUUUCUAGUUUGUAACCUAAAAUGGUAUUUGUCCUCAAAAAUAAUAAAAAACUAGGACUGUAAGUAUUCA